rnacentral:tRNA from 1 species
UGGGGCUGUAGCUCAGUGGUAGAGUGCUUGCUUUGCAUGGGUGACGUGCUGAGUUGGAUCCUCAGCACCACAA